GCUGGACUGGGGGAUUCACACUGUAAGCUGGAGAUACUGAGGCUGUCAGGCUGCAGAGUCACAGAAGGAGGCUGUACUUCCCUGGCUUCCGCUCUGUGGUCAAACCCCUCACAUCUGAGAGAGCUGGACCUGAGCUACAAUCACCCAGGAGACUCAGGAGUGAAGCUGCUCUCUGCUGUACUGGAGGAUCCCAGCUGUAAACUGGAGAAGCUGAAUGUGGAUCACAGUGCAGAGUGCAGGACCAGACCAGGCUUACAGAAAUGUGAGUUUGUUUGCAUGUUUUUAUUAAUAAUAGCAUUAAUACUGCUUUAUGAUUGUAUUCAUGCAGCUUUUUGCACUAUACUGUAUGUAGAUGGAUUUCCAUGUUUAUGUUUUGGUGAGUUUCUCUGUGUGUCAUUUUAGACAACAUCCAAAGGUGAAAAACAAAACAGACAUCACAAAAAAAUUAUUAAUUCAUCAGUUCUUCUUCUUAACAUACUGCUGGGUUUGGGUUCAUACAUGACUGGUUUCUUAAGUAUAAAUAGCAUCUGGGAACAAACAAAUACUUUACAGCUGCUUAUAUCGUGCUUGUGUUUAUGUGAGAAUGUAACAGGGUGAAAUACAUUCUGACAUGGCUGUGCGUCUUUAACACCGCAAAAAAAACCUUCCCGUUUCUUCUUUUUUGCAUAUGUGCUAUGUACUUUUUUGAGAUUCGUUAGUAUUGUCAUUAUUGUUCCAAGACGGCACCCGUAGUCUCCCCCAAACUGACUGUAAUGCAGAGCGUCUCCUCAGUCUGCACUUAGUGCAGUUGGAGGGAGGUGAGUGUCUGUAGAGGUUAGUGGGAAAUCAA